AUGUAUCCUUCACGUUUCGUGCUGAUACUACUGGUCCUGAUGCCUGGUACAAGUGGAAUCGACUCAGUAUCCCAGGUUCCGUCUGAACUAACAGUUGAGGAAGGAGAGACCAUUACACUGAACUGCAGUUAUUCCACGACUGAUACUUUUCCUUAUUUCUUCUGGUAUAUUCAAUAUCCAGGGAGUUCCCUGAAAUAUAUGCUGAAGAGAUAUGGCAGUGGUCCAGGCGAGACCGCUGAAAAUUUCCGUCGAAGAUUCAGUGCAUCAUUGGACAAAGAACGGAAAACAGUUCCAUUAAGAAUCCUUCGAGUUUUUGUCUCUGACUCUGCAACGUAUUAUUGUGCACUGCGCCCCACACUGUUACAGGGACGCUGUCAGCAUGCUGCUGUUAUUUGUGAAUUCACUGUGGCUAGGUUAAAAAAACCGAAAAUCCUGGAGUUGUCACCCUGGUGUGUUUGCCUACAACGCAUGAAUAGCAGAGUUCAAGAAGGGGGCAAAUCAACACCUUCUCUUGGGAAAAAAAAUAUUAUUUGCUUUAUGAUGCAAGAACAAGAUGCAGACCCUGGCUUCUGUGCACUGUCAAAUCUAGACCUUGUAUGGUUGCGGAAACCAAGACCUGUUGGCGAGAAUGUGAAGGACUAG